GACAGAGGUGCCGAGCGUUAGGCGGAAUCACUGGGCUUAAAGCGUGUGUAGGCGGACUUCUAAGUGCCUUGUGAAAUCCCACGGCUCACCCGUGGAACUGCUGGGCAUACUGGGAGUCUUGAGCCACUUAGGGGCAACUGGAACAAACGGUGGAGCGGUGAAAUGCGUAGAUAUCGAGAGGAACACCUGCGGCGAAGGCGGGUUGCUGGGCUGACACUGACGCUGAUGCGCGAAAGCCAGGGGAGCGAACGGG
rnacentral:rRNA from 1 species